rnacentral:rRNA from 1 species
CAGCAGCCGCGGGAAUACGAAGGGGGCUAGCGUUGCUCGGAAUUACUGGGCGUAAAGGGCGCGUAGGCGGACAGUUCAGUCGGGGGUGAAAGCCCGGGGCUCAACCUCGGAAUUGCCUUCGAUACUGGCUGUCUUGAGUAUGAGAGAGGUGUGUGGAACUCCGAGUGUAGAGGUGAAAUUCGUAGAUAUUCGGAAGAACGCCAGUGGCGAAGGCGACACACUGGCUCAUUACUGACGCUGAGGCGCGAAAGCGUGGGGAGCAAACAGGAUUAGAUACCCCUGUAGUCCCUGUCUCUUAUAC